rnacentral:rRNA from 1 species
GAUGAACGCUGGCGGCGUGCCUAAUACAUGCAAGUCGAGCGAACAGACGAGGAGCUUGCUCCUCUGACGUUAGCGGCGGACGGGUGAGUAACACGUGGAUAACCUACCUAUAAGACUGGGAUAACUUCGGGAAACCGGAGCUAAUACCGGAUAAUAUAUUGAACCGCAUGGUUCAAUAGUGAAAGACGGUUUUGCUGUCACUUAUAGAUGGAUCCGCGCCGCAUUAGCUAGUUGGUAGGGUAACGGCUUACCAAGGCAACGAUGGGUAGCCGACCUGAGAGGGUGAACGGCGACAUGGGGACUGAGAGACGGCCCAGAGUGCGACGGGAGGCAGCAGUGGGGAAGAUUGCACAAUGGGCGGAAGACUGAUGCAGCAAUGCCGGGUGCGGGGGGACGGCCUUCGGGUUGUAAACCGCUUUCGCCUGUGACGAAGCGUGAGUGACGGUAAUGGGUAAAGAAGCACCGGCUAACUACGUG